rnacentral:rRNA from 1 species
UACGGAGGGUGCAAGCGUUAGUCGGAAUUACUGGGCGUAAAGCGUGCGUAGGUGGUUUCUUAAGUCGGAUGUGAAAGCCCUGGGCUCAACCUGGGAAUGGCACUCGAUACUGGGAAGCUAGAGUGCGGUAGAGGAGGGUGGAAUUCCCGGUGUAGCGGUGAAAUGCGUAGAGAUCGGGAGGAACAUCAGUGGCGAAGGCGACCCUCUGGACCAGCACUGACGCUGAGGCACGAAAGCGUGGGGAGCAAACAGG